ensembl:snoRNA
GCACCAAAUCUUUCCCAUUCCUUACUGCUCAGUGUGGGCCUGGGGACACAUGGUGCGUACAGAAAGGCAAAGCAAAUCCAGGCAGGUGACUUCUCAGUGGGUACCUGCCUCUACACCUCUGCAACAGUU